rnacentral:rRNA from 1 species
CCUAUAUUUCUAGUGGUUGACCUCGGAUUAGGUAGGAAUACCCGCUGAACUUAAGCAUAUCAAUAAGCGGAGGAAAAGAAACCAACAGGGAUUGCCCUAGUAACGGCGAGUGAAGCGGCAACAGCUCAAAUUUGAAAUCUGGCCCUAGCGGUCCGAGUUGUAAUUUGUAGAGGAUGCUUUUGGUUAGGUGCCUUCUGAGUUCCCUGGAACGGGACGCCAGAGAGGGUGAGAGCCCCGUACGGUUGGACACCGAGCCUCUAUAUAGCUCCUUCGACGAGUCGAGUAGUUUGGGAAUGCUGCUCUAAAUGGGAGGUAAAUUUCUUCUAAAGCUAAAUACCGGCCAGAGACCGAUAGCGCACAAGUAGAGUGAUCGAAAGAUGAAAAGUACUUUGAAAAGAGGGUUAAAUAGCACGUGAAAUUGUUGAAAGGGAAGCGUUUGCGACCAGACUUUUUCCAGGCGGAUCAUCCGGUGUUCUCACCGGUGCACUUCGCCUGGUUUAGGCCAGCAUCGGUUCUCUUAGGGGGAUAAAGGCCUGGGGAACGUAGCUCCUUCGGGAGUGUUAUAGCCCCUAGCGUAAUACCCUUCGGGGGACCGAGGAACGCGCA